UGAUGAACUCAUCCAAACUGAAAUAUUACUGAUGAACUCAUCCCAACUGAACUAUUACUGAUGAACUCAUCCAAACUGAACUAUUCCUGAUGAACUCAUCCAAACUGAAAUAUUACUGAUGAACUCAUCCCAACUGAACUAUUACUGAUGAACUCAUCCCAACUGAACUAUUCCUGAUGAACUGAUCCCAACUGAACUAUUCCUGAUGAACUCAUCCCAACUGAACUAUAACUGGUUUGAAACAAACUUCAGUUAGUUGGUGUCCACCCUAGUCUGUAUCGAUCUGGGAUGCAUUCCAAGUGGCACCCUAAUCCCUUUAUAGUGCACUACUUAUGAAUAGGGCCCUAUGGGGAUGCAGACCUGGUGUAAGUACUUGCUGUUACUAAAGGCUCCAUUACCUACCUGCGGAACCUUACCUCUCUCAUCACAAGGGUCUUCAACACAACUCCUGGAGGGUUUUUUGGAAGAUUUAAAAAAAACAAACAGAGGUGUACAUAACAAAUGGCAUCCUAUUCUCUUUGAAGUGCACUACUUUUGACCAGGGUAAUAGUAUGCCGUUUGUGACACACCCUAGAGUAUUCUCAGUCAAUUGUCGACCGGCUAAUCAUAAACCAAAGAUGACAGGAGAGCUUUAUAAUGGCUAGUAAUGGCUAGGUGAGAUGUGUUGGAUGGCAUCUGUAUCGCUGUUGAACUAAACAGUUAGCGUACUAGUGAUUAUACAAUAUUAGUUUCUUCCUAUAUCAUAGGCUACAUUCAAACUUGUAGAGGACAUUUAAAUUAGUGCAAUACAUAUUGGAUGGCUAUAAAGGUUUGUGUUACAGGAUAGAAUUAGCAGGUAUUCUAGUCUCGCUAAUAUCCCCUACAGGAUAGAAUUAGCAGGUAUGCUAGUCUAGCUAAUAGCCCAUACAGGAUAGAAUUAGCAGGUAUGCUAGUCUAGCUAAUAACCCCUACAGGAUAGAAUUAGCAGGUAUGCUAGUCUAGCUAAUAACCCAUACAGGAUAGAAUUAGCAGGUAUGCUAGUCUCGCUAAUAUCCCCUACAGGAUAGAAUUAGCAGGUAUGCUAGUCUCGCUAAUAUCCCCUACAGGAUAGAAUUAGCAGGUAUGCUAGUCUCGCUAAUAUCCCCUACAGGAUAGAAUUAGCAGGUAUGCUAGUCUCGCUAAUAUCCCCUACAGGAUAGAAUUAGCAGGUAUGCUAGUCUAGCUAAUAUCCCCUCUGGUUACAUUGUUCUGUAACGGCUCAUUCUCGUAUGAGCAAUUGAGCAUAUCAACUCACUGUGCUAAGUCUAGGGUUGCAAAAAUACAUAAGGUAUACUUUCAAAAAAAAUUCCAUGGUUUUCCAGAAAUCCUGGUUGGAAGAUUCCUCUUAAGAUUCUGAGCAAUGUGUCAAUGACCACACUAUGAAUAUAUGUGUAUCUGAGUUAGGUUGUUUUGGUUGGCGGUCAAUUCCGUCGAUUCAUGGAAAAAAAAAGAAAGUAAAAGCAUUUAACAAUUCAAGGAUUUAAUUGAAACUUACCAAAUUUCAACUUUUGAAUUGACUGAAUCGAUAGUUGAACUGAGCCCAACUCUGCGUUGAACCUCUCUAAAUGUGUCCUCCCUCAAUCUCAGACCUGUAGUUAUUUUUUAUUUUUUUAUUUUACCUUUAUUUAACUAGGCAAGUGAGUUAAGAACACAUUCUUAUUUUCAAUGACGGCCUGGGAACAGUGGGUUAACUGCCUGUUCAGGGGCAGAACGACAGAUUUGUACCUUGUCAGGUCAGAGGUUUGAACUCACAACCUUCCGGUUAAUAGUCCAACGCUCUAACCACCCUGCCGCCCCAGUUCAAUCAACAACUUCUCGAUGUCAUUGACUAUGUUGUUCUUAUGAAUGUAUUCAGGCUGUCUGUGUCUAUGACUAUACUAUCAGUGUUAUUGUCAAUGAAUGUAACUAUUUGAAUGUUCUCUGACUGCCUGUCAAUGAAUGUAACUAUUUGAAUGUUUUCUGACAGUGUCUGAAUGUAUUUCAGUUUCCGUAGGACUACUCAUGUUCUGAGUCCCACCAAUAUCAGACCUCUGAAUAUCAGAGUGCCCAAAUGGCGGUAUUUUCCCUACAUAGUGCACUACUUUUGACCAGAGCCAUCAAAAGUAAUGCACUAGGGGAUAGGCUGCAAUUUGGGACUCAGUUCAACCUGUUGAUCAGCCUGUUGAUCAACCUGUUGAUCAGCCUGUAAAACUGUUGGAGACGUUCAGGUUGAGGUUUUCAGUUCGGACAGCAAGCAAACAUUUGUUGUGUUAUACUUGUUUAAAAAAAAUAAUUCUGUGAAACAUAUGAGACGAUCAGCAAUUGGCCAUUGGGUACAUGUCAAUCAUUCCUCAAUCAGCCCCAGCCCCACCCCCAUUGCUGUUUACUUACACACACACACACACACACACACACACACACACACACAAAUACACGUUUUAUCUGUUUAUUAUUGUUAUUACUAGGCUAUUAUUAUGAUUAUUUUUAAAUGCAUGAUGAGGUAAUAAUGUAAAUAGUUCAUUCACAAAGACGUCUUUCCACAUUCUGAAGGACCACGUUCGACAUUCGUACGAGGCUAGAAGAAAGUGUUUGAAUAGAGAACACAGCAUGUGGGCUAGUUAUUAAUAUUAUGUUGCAACUGUGAAAGAGAGAGGGGCAGAGAGAGAGAGAGGCAGAGAGAGAGGCAGAGAUAGAGGCAGUGAGAGAGAGGCAGGGUUGAGAGAGAGAGAGGCAGUGAGAGAGGCAGAGAGAGAGAGAGAAAGGCAGAGAAAGCAAAGGAGAGAAAGGCAGAAAGAAAGGCAGAGAAAGGAGAAAGGCAGAGAGAAAGGCAGAGAGAGAAAGGCAGAGAGAGAGAGAAAGGCAGAGAGAAAGGCAGAGAGAAAGGCAGAGAGAGAGGCAGAGAGAGGCAGGCAGAGAGAAAGGCAGAGAGAGAGGCAGAGAGAGAGAAAGGCAGAGAGAAAGGCAGAGAGAAAGGCAGAGAGAGAGGCAGAGAGAGAGAGAAAGGCAGAGAGAAAGGCAGAGAGAAAGGCAGAGAGAGAGGCAGAGAGAGAGAGAAAGGCAGAGAGAAAGGCAGAGAGAGAGGCAGAGAGAGAGAGGCAGAGAGAGAAAAACAGAGAGAGAGAGAGGCAGAGAGAGAGAGAGAGAAUAACAUCUAACUACAACUAACUAGGUUAUAAGUUUUACAGUAAUCAGCACAGCACCUGUAGACCAGACCAGGCCCAUAGUACUUUGUCCUUCAGUAAGCCACUCUAAAUGGUGAUUACAUUUCUUAGAUCCAACUCACAGUUUCUACGUGAAACAAGCACACCCCGCAGCUCAUGUCAAUCAGAGUAACACUGAGGAGUAAGAGCGGGUGGGUUUAUUUUGCGUUUAGAGAGUUAUAGUAGUGUCUUCUUAGAUCAGGGCUGCUGAAACCCUUUUCAUGGAGAGCUACCCUCCUGUAGGUUGUUGCUCCAACCCUUAGCUAACAUACCUGAUUUAGCUAGGUAAGGUGUUGUUGAGCAUCUAGGGUUGGACGGACCCUGCAGGAGAAGAGCUCUCCGUGAACAUGGAUGGGCAGCCUUGUCUUGGAUCAACACCAGGCAACAGCAGACUUGCAGAGCCUUCAGAAAACAUUCACACCCCUGAACUUUUUAUACAUUUUAUUCUGUUACAGCUUGAAUGGAAAAAAAUGAUCAAAUUGAGAUUUUGUGUCAUUGGCCUUAAUGUCAAAAUGUCAUUGUGUUUUUUUUUAAAUUGACAAAUUACUUAAAAAUUAAAAGCUGAAAUGUCUUGAGCAUAUACUCACACAAUGAGCUGUAAGGUCCUUCAGUUGAGCAAUGCAUAUCAAAUACAGAUUCAACCACAAAGAACAGGGAGGUUUUCCAAUGCUUCACGAAGAAGGGCACCUAUUGGUAGAUGGCUAAACAUAAAAAAGCAGACAUUGAAUAUCCCUUUGAGCAUAGUGAAGCUAUUAAUAACACUUUGGAAGGUGUAUCAAUACACCCAGUCACUACAAAGAUACAGGCGUCCUUCCUAACUCAGUUGCCAGAGAUGAAGGAAACCACUGAAGGAUUUCACCAUGAGGCCAAUUGUGACUUUAAAACAGUUACUGAGUUUUAAUGGCUGUGAUAGGAGAAAACUGAGGAUGGAUCCACAACAUUGUAGUUCCUCCACAAUACUAACCUAAAUGACAGAGUGAAAAGAAACAAUCCUGCAUAGAAAAACAAUAUUCCAAAACAUGCAUCCUGUUUGCAAUAAGGCAUUUAAGUAAAAUCCAAAAAACACAUAACUGAGUACCACUGUUCAUAUUUUCAAGCAUGGUGGUGGCUGCAUCAUGUUAUGGGUAUGCUUGUCAUCAGCAAAGACUAGGGAGUUUUUUUAGGAUAAAAAUAAAUGAAAUAGAGCUAAGGCAAAAUCUUAGAGGAAAAUCUGGUUCAGUCUGCUUUCCACCAGACACUGGGAGAUUAAUUUACCUUUCAGCAGGACAACAACCUAAAACACAAGGCCAAAUAUAAACAGCAGUUGGUUACCAAGACAACAUUGAAUGUUCCUGAGUGGCAUAAUUAAAAUCAGCUUGAAAAUCUAUGGCAAGACAUGAAAAUGGCUGUCAAGCAAUGAUCAACAACCAACUUGACAGAGCUUGAAGAAUUUUCUUAAGAAUAAUGUGCAAAUAUUGUACAAUAAAGGUGCAAAGCUCUUUUGAAACUUACCCAGAAAGACUCACAGGUGUAAUCACUCUUAGAGACUCACUCAAAAAGACUCACAGGUGUAAUCCCUGCCAAAGGUGAUUCUAACAUGUAUUGACUCAGGGGUGUGAAUUCUUAUGUAAAUUAGAGAUUUCUGUAUUUCAUUUUCAAUAAAUGUGUAGAUAUUUGUAAAAACAUGUUUUCACUUUGUCAUUAUGGGGUAUUGUGUGUAGAUGGAUGACAAAAAAUAUAUUUAAUCCAUUUUAAUUUCAGGCUGUAACACAACAACAUGCGGAAUAAGUUAAGGUGCUGCAGAGAUGUUGAUGGCAUCUCAGCCAUAGAUGAAUAUACAGUUGAAGUCGGAAGUUUACAUAAACCUGAGCCAAAUUAAUUUAAACUCAGUUUUUCACAAUUCCUGAUAUUUAAUCCUUGUAAAAAU
ensembl:lncRNA